UUGUAUGGAUUAGUGGCGGACGGGUGAGUAACGCGUGGAUAACCUGCCGUAUACAGGGGGAUAACACUUAGAAAUAGGUGCUAAUACCGCAUAAGCGCACGGUUCCGCAUGGAACAGUGUGAAAAACUCCGGUGGUAUACGAUGGAUCCGCGUCUGAUUAGCCAGUUGGCGGGGUAACGGCCCACCAAAGCGACGAUCAGUAGCCGGCCUGAGAGGGUGAACGGCCACAUUGGGACUGAGACACGGCCCAGACUCCUGCGGGAGGCAGCAGUGGGGGAUAUUGCACAAUGGGGGGAACCCUGAUGCAGCGACGCCGCGUGAACGAAGAAAUAUUUCGGUAUGUAAAGUUCUAUCAGCAGGGAAGAAAAUGACAGUACCUGACCAAGAAGCCCCGGCUAACUACGUGCCAGCAGCCGCGGUAAUACGUAGGGGGCAAGCGUUAUCCGGAUUCACUGGGUGUAAAGGGAGCGUAGACGGCGACGCAAGUCUGGAGUGAAAGCCCGGGGCCCAACCCCGGGACUGCUCUGGAAACUGCGGCGCUGGAGUACGGGAGGGGCAGGCGGAAUUCCUGGUGUAGCGGUGAAAUGCGUAGAUAUCAGGAGGAACACCGGCGGCGAAGGCGGCCUGCUGGACCGUGACUGACGUUGAGGCUCGAGAGCGUGGGGAGCAAACAGGAUUAGAUACCCUGGUAGUCCAUGCCGUAAACGAUGAAUACUAGGUGUUGGGUCACAAAGGCUCCCGCGUGCCGUGGCUGACGCAGUAAGGAUUCCGCUUUGGGAGGACGUUCGCGAGAAUGAAAGUCCAGGGAAUUCACGGGGAUCUGCACAAGCGCUGGAGCAUGUGGUUUAAUUCGAAGCAACGUGAAGAACCUUACCAAGUCUUGACAUCCCGGUGACGCAGGAGUAACAUUCUGUUCCCUACGGGGCACCGGAGACAGGUGGUGCAUGGUCGUUGUCAGCUCGUGUCGUGAGAUGUUGGGUUAAGUCCCGCAACGAGCGCAACCCCUGCGCAUAGUUGCCAGCAGGCAAAGCUGGGCACUCUAUGCGGACCGCCCGGGUUAACCUGGAGGAAGGUGGGGAUGACGUCAAAUCAUCAUGCCCCUUAUGAUUUGGGCUACACACGUGCUACAAUGGCGUAAACAAAGGGAAGCGAAGGAGUGAUCCGGAGCAAAUCUCAGAAAUAACGUCUCAGUUCGGAUUGUAGUCUGCAACUCGACUACAUGAAGCUGGAAUCGCUAGUAAUCGCGGAUCAGAAUGCCGCGGCGAAAAGGUUCCCGGGUCUUGCACACCCCGCCCGUC
rnacentral:rRNA from 1 species